rnacentral:SRP_RNA from 1 species
GCCGGGCGUGGUGGCGCAUGCCUGUAAUCCCAGCUACUCAGGAGGCUGAGGCAGGAGAAUCACUUGAACCCGGGAGGCGGAGGUUGCAGUGAGCCAAGAUGGUGCCACUGCACUCCAGCCUGGGUGACAGAGUGAGACUGCAUCUC